rnacentral:rRNA from 1 species
CCUACGGGAGGCAGCAGUGAGGAAUAUUGGUCAAUGGACGAGAGUCUGAACCAGCCAAGUAGCGUGAAGGAUGACUGCCCUAUGGGUUGUAAACUUCUUUUAUAUGGGAGUAAAAUGUUCCACGUGUGGCAUUUUGUAUGUACCAUAUGAAUAAGGAUCGGCUAACUCCGUGCCAGCAGCCGCGGUAAUACGGAGGAUCCGAGCGUUAUCCGGAUUUAUUGGGUUUAAAGGGAGCGUAGGUGGAUUGUUAAGUUAGUUGUGAAAGUUUGCGGCUCAAACGUAAAAUUGCAGUUGAAACUGGCAGUCUUGAGUACAGUAGAGGUAGGCGGAAUGCGUGGUGUAGCGGUGAAAUGCUUAGAUAUCACGCAGAACUCCGAUUGCGAAGGCAGCUCACUGGACUGCAACUGACACUGAGGCACGAAAGUGUGGGUAUCAAACAGGAUUAGAUACCCCUGUAGUC